rnacentral:lncRNA from 1 species
AACGCCAUAGAAGGUCUGGAGAAAGCUGGUUUUUCAUAUUUUUACAUCAUGUGAGUUUAAUUCUUACUUUUCUUGAUAUUUUUUAUGUUUUUAUGACUUUUACAAUUAGGUCCACUUGUAGAAUUCAUUAGUUUUUGAUUUUAUGGGUGAAAUUGGAAGUUAACCUGGAUGGAUAAGGGAAUUUUAUGAUGAAUUAUUAUGAAAUUUAAGUUCUAAUUUCAUAUUAAGGUGGUUUUAUUAAGUGAUUUUGAUAGGAAAUGAUAUUUAGGACCUAAUUGUGAAAAAGUUGUGAAUUGAAGGUUUCUGUUGAAAUUAAGAAUAUAAAAGGUUUUGAAAUAGUUUAUAAUGAUAAAAUAAAGUGUUAAUUGAGAAAAAUUAGUUCAAUUGAUGGGUGAAUUUAGCAGGGACUAAAUUGUGAAAACUGUAAAUUUUGGGGUAAAAGUGCAAUUUCGAAAUUUGAACAGCAUAAAUUGUGAAGUGAAAUAGAAUUGAAAUGGAUGCUAAUGAAGGAAUGAUUUUAUAAUUAUAGAUCAAGAAAACGAACUGAAUCGUGGAAAGGAGAAAGUUCAAGAAUAGUCCCUGAAUUUCUACGACUUUUGCAAAUUAGUCCAGGUAAGUUCAUAUGGCAAAGUUCAAUGUUUUGAUAUGAAAAUCUUAUGAUUGUUAAAGUAUUUUAUUGUUGAUGAAUACUAUCAAUUUGCAUUAACUAAUGAAUAAUGUGUAACUAAAAGUACAAAUUAGUAGGAACAAUGGAUUUGAGUUCUUCUAUUCUGUGACCCUGAUGAAUUGACGAAAAAUAUGUGAUAAGUGUGCCCGUUUAAGACCAUAGCUAGGCUAUGGCAUCGGUGCAAUGUGAUAAUGUGACUCCGUAUAAGACCAUAGCUGGGCUAUGGCAUCGGUAUAAUGUGAUAAUGUGAUUCCGUAUAAGACUAUGUCUGGGAUAUGGCUUCGGUAUGAUAUGUGAACCGUGUAAGACCAUGGCAAGGCUAUGGCUUUGGUGUGUGAUGCGUAACAAUGUGAAAGUCCAUAGUUUACUAUGGCAAUGUGAUAAUGAAGCACUCAAUUCCCUUAUUGUUCCUUAAAUUGACAAUGAAGUAAAUGAGAAAUGGGCCUAAGGGAGUUAAAUUGUGAGUAGCCAUAUGGAAAUUAUUCCAAUGAGUUAUUAAUGAAAUUUUGAUUUGGAGGAUGAAAUAGUUAAACUAAUAGAUAUAAGAUUGUGUACGAUAUUUGAUAUGAUUUGUGUUUUUAUGCCUAUGAGCUUACUAAGCUUCAAUAAGCUUACUUGUGUGUGUUUAAUAUUUUUAUGUAGAUUGACUUGAAGUAAAGUGGGUAGAUCGGAUCAACACAACAGGGCACACUAUUCAGAUCAAUUCUGGUAGUUUUGGUUUUAUGUUUAAAGAUUUAUAUGGCAUGUAUAGAGUUUGAAGGAAUUGAAGUAAAGAUGUUAUAAACUAGUUAACAAUAUUUGUACUAAAACAGUUUUUGGUAAGUAGCAGUAGUUUGACUUUGAAAAAUCAC